rnacentral:rRNA from 1 species
AGUGAACGCUGGCGGUAGGCCUAACACAUGCAAGUCGAACGGCAGCACAGUAAGAGCUUGCUCUUACGGGUGGCGAGUGGCGGACGGGUGAGGAAUACAUCGGAAUCUACUUUUUCGUGGGGGAUAACGUAGGGAAACUUACGCUAAUACCGCAUACGACAUACGGGUGAAAGCAGGGGAUCUUCGGACCUUGCGCGAUUGAAUGAGCCGAUGUCGGAUUAGCUAGUUGGCGGGGUAAAGGCCCACCAAGGCGACGGUCCGUAGCUGGUCUGAGAGGAUGAUCAGCCACACUGGAACUGAGACACGGUCCAGACUCCUACGGGAGGCAGCAGUGGGGAAUAUUGGACAAUGGGCGCAAGCCUGAUCCAGCCAUACCGCGUGGGUGAAGAAGGCCUUCGGGUUGUAAAGCCCUUUUGUUGGGAAAGAAAAGCAGCAGGUUAAUACCCCGCUGUUCUGACGGUACCCAAAGAAUAAGCACCGGCUAACUUCGUG